GGCGCGGGUGCGGGGCGGGGUUGAGGACGGUGCUGCCGUCCGGCUCGCCUGCCGCGCGCCGGAUGAGCCGUUCGAGCCUGCGCCGCACCA
rnacentral:tRNA from 1 species